rnacentral:rRNA from 1 species
AGUCGAACGGCAGCGCGGGAGCAAUCCUGGCGGCGAGUGGCGAACGGGUGAGUAAUACAUCGGAACGUGCCCAAUCGUGGGGGAUAACGCAGCGAAAGCUGUGCUAAUACCGCAUAAGAUCUACGGAUGAAAGCAGGGGAUCGCAAGACCUUGCGCGAAUGGAGCGGCCGAUGGCAGAUUAGGUAGUUGGUGAGGUAAAGGCUCACCAAGCCUUCGAUCUGUAGCUGGUCUGAGAGGACGACCAGCCACACUGGGACUGAGACACGGCCCAGACUCCUACGGGAGGCAGCAGUGGGGAAUUUUGGACAAUGGGCGCAAGCCUGAUCCAGCCAUGCCGCGUGCAGGAUGAAGGCCUUCGGGUUGUAAACUGCUUUUGUACGGAACGAAAAGGUUCUUUCUAAUAAAGAGAGCUCAUGACGGUACCGUAAGAAUAAGCACCGGCUAACUACGUGCCAGCAGCCGCGGUAAUACGUAGGGUGCAAGCGUUAAUCGGAAUUACUGGGCGUAAAGCGUGCGCAG